rnacentral:rRNA from 1 species
UACAGAGGGGGCAAGCGUUGUUCGGAAUUACUGGGCGUAAAGGGCGCGUAGGCGGCCUGCUAAGUCGAACGUGAAAUCCCUGGGCUCAACCCAGGAACUGCCGUCCGAUACUGGUUGGCUUGAAUCCGGGAGAGGGAUGCGGAAUUCCAGGUGUAGCGGUGAAAUGCGUAGAUAUCUGGAGGAACACCGGUGGCGAAGGCGGCAUCCUGGACCGGCAUUGACGCUGAGGCGCGAAAGCCAGGGGAGCAAACGGGG